rnacentral:lncRNA from 1 species
UCAAAAUGGGACGAACCAAAAGAAUUUGAAUUCGCUGCCACCACAUAGACUUCUAAAAAUUCAAUUGGAGUUCCCACUACUGCACAAGGAAAAUUAUAAAGUCAAAUAAUUUUUUAGUCAUUGUCCACAUAAAAAAGAAGGGGUUUUUAAGUUGAAUCGAUCACGUUACUUGAAUUAGGUAGCAGGCAGUUACAGAUCAAAUCAGAAGCACAUAACAGAGCAGAUCAACCCCAUGACGGAUGCAUAUAUGAAAUGUAUGUCAUAGGUGCCAUAAUCGAAAAUUGUUUUCAUGAAUUUUUUGGUAAACAACCCAUUUAUAAGAAAACAACAAAAGUUGUUCCUAACUUUCCGAAAACAAUUCUCGUAAAAAAAUGAAUAUCAUGUGAAAAGGAUGAGUAUUUUUUAGUUUUCGAAAAACAGAAAACAGAGCUAUUUCAUCUUUUGUACAUGCCCAUGUUAUAACACAUGCACUAAUUUUUCAUGUUCUAAAUAAGAGAACUGAAAUCAAAAGUGGAGGAAGAUGAUACCGAAGCAGAUGUCUUAGUGAAAGCAGAGUAAAUUAUAUAAGAUUCUUGUAGACAUUUUAUCGAACAGAUUGUAGCUAAACCCUCAAUUAAUGAUUGUGUUACUCAAUCUGAUAAGUUCAACAGCACCUAUGGCAUAAUAGAGGCAUGGCCUUCGUCAACCACAAAGACGACAGUUCAAUAGCGAUUGGAGCGCUAUUCUGAAUGAAGAACCACCAGUUCAUUGCGGCUUCUUCGGCAUCGAUACCCAAAUUCAGCAGUGGACCAUUUGUGAUUUGCUAGCAGUUUUUGGAAUCAAAUACGAGAAAUAGUAAUAAGGGCAAGAUAAGAAAGCUUCAAAACCCUAUAAAGAAAGAUGAGGUGAGAGAGAUGCAGCGGAGAUGGACAACCAAAGCCUAUUAGUUAUUACGGUGGAAAGGAGAGAGAGAGAGAGAGAG